rnacentral:rRNA from 1 species
UACGUAGGGGGCUAGCGUUGUCCGGAAUCAUUGGGCGUAAAGCGCGCGUAGGCGGCCCGGUAAGUCCGCUGUGAAAGUCAAAGGCUCAACCUUUGAAUGUCAGCGGAUACUGCCGGGCUAGAGUCCGGAAGAGGGGAGUGGAAUUCCUGGUGUAGCGGUGAAAUGCGUAGAGAUCAGGAGGAACACCCGUGGCGAAGGCGGCUCCCUGGUCCGUCCCUGACGCUGAGACGCGAAAGCGCGGGGAGCGAACGGG